UACGGGGGGGGCAAGCGUUGUUCGGAAUUACUGGGCGUAAAGGGCGCGUAGGCGGCCUACUAAGUCGGACGUGAAAUCCCUCGGCUCAACCGGGGAACUGCGUCCGAUACUGGUGGGCUUGAAUCCGGGAGAGGGAUGCGGAAUUCCAGGUGUAGCGGUGAAAUGCGUAGAUAUCUGGAGGAACACCGGUGGCGAAGGCGGCAUCCUGGACCGGUAUUGACGCUGAGGAGCGAAAGCCAGGGGAGCAAACGGG
rnacentral:rRNA from 1 species